rnacentral:rRNA from 1 species
CUUGAUCAAUUAUAAGAGGUCAAGCCUGCCCAGUGACAUUGUUCAACGGCCGCGGUAUCCUAACCGUGCGAAGGUAGCGUAAUCACUUGUCCUUUAAAUAAGGACUAGUAUGAACGGCUUCACGAAGGCUAUACUGUCUCCUUAAUCUAAUCAAUUAAACUAAUCUCCCCGUGAAGAAGCGGGGAUUCAUCUAUAAGACGAGAAGACCCUAUGGAGCUUUAAACAUCUAAGACACUUGAUUUUUACCUACUAAACUUCAUGCAACCUAUCCUUUUGUCUUAAGUUUUAGGUUGGGGUGACCACGGAGAAUAAUUAAACCUCCACGUAGAAAGAAAAUUCUUUUCUAAGCAAAAAGCCACAUCUUAACGCAUCAAUAUAUUGACUUAACUUGACCCAAUUUCUUGCUCAACGAAC